GAAGAGAGAGUUCAAGAGUACGUGAAACCGUCUGGGAGUAAACGGGUGGUUCCCGAAAGUGCGAAAGGGGAGAUUCAGGUCUCGCCGCGCGCCGGGCCGCGCCCGCGACAAGGGAUGGCGUUUUCGCGGCUGCGGGGCAACCCGCGGUCCGGGANNNGCGUCACCCCGCGGGCGCGGUUAUCAGCCGGCGUCGGAGUGACGCACUUCUCCCCCGGUAGAACGUCGCGAUCCGUCGGUCGCCGGCCUAAGGCCCCUGGUGGAGCCGAGCGCGGUUCGCCGCGUCCGACCCAGGGGAUCCCGGCCGGGUGGCCGACGGUACGAAGAGAGGAAGGAGUCGGCGCGCCUUUCCAUAGGCGUCCGCCCCUCCGCAAGCACCCGCGGGAGAGUGNGGUCCGGGCCCGGCCCGGCCUCUCUCUUCAACGGGGCUGUUUGCGAUCANGANGUGUGCUCGGAC
rnacentral:rRNA from 1 species